rnacentral:rRNA from 1 species
GAUGAACGCUAGCGGGAGGCUUAACACAUGCAAGUCGAGGGGCAGCAUAGGGUAGCAAUACUCUGAUGGGCGACCGGCAAACGGGUGAGUAACGCGUAUGCAACCUACCCCGUACAGGGGGAUAACCCGGAGAAAUUCGGACUAAUAUCCCGUAAUAAUAUCCGGAGGCAUCUUUGGAUAUUUAAAGUUUCGACGGUACGGGAUGGGCAUGCGUAACAUUAGCUGGUUGGUAAGGUAACGGCUUACCAAGGCUAUGAUGUUUAGGGGUCCUGAGAGGGUGGUCCCCCACACUGGUACUGAGACACGGACCAGACUCCUACGGGAGGCAGCAGUGAGGAAUAUUGGUCAAUGGGCGCAAGCCUGAACCAGCCAUCCCGCGUGCAGGAAGACGGCCCUAUGGGUUGUAAACUGCUUUUCCAGGGAGAGAAACUUACGCACGUGUUGCGUGACUGACGGUACCCUGGGAAUAAGCAUCGGCUAACUCCGUG